AUUGAACGCUGGCGGCAUGCUUUACACAUGCAAGUCGAACGGUAACAGGCCGCAAGGUGCUGACGAGUGGCGAACGGGUGAGUAAUGCAUCGGAACGUGCCCAGUCGUGGGGGAUAACGCAGCGAAAGCUGUGCUAAUACCGCAUACGAUCUAUGGAUGAAAGCGGGGGGCCGUAAGGCCUCGCGCGAUUGGAGCGGCCGAUGUCAGAUUAGGUAGUUGGUGGGGUAAAGGCUCACCAAGCCAACGAUCUGUAGCUGGUCUGAGAGGACGACCAGCCGCACUGGGACUGAGACACGGCCCAGACUCCUACGGGAGGCAGCAGUGGGGAAUUUUGGACAAUGGGCGCAAGCCUGAUCCAGCAAUGCCGCGUGCAGGAAGAAGGCCUUCGGGUUGUAAACUGCUUUUGUACGGAACGAAACGGCGAGCUCUAAUACAGUUUGCUAAUGACGGUACCGUAAGAAUAAGCACCGGCUAACUACGUGCCAGCAGCCGCCGCCG
rnacentral:rRNA from 1 species